rnacentral:rRNA from 1 species
UACAGAGGUCCCGAGCGUUGUUCGGAUUCACUGGGCGUAAAGGGUGCGUAGGUGGUGAGGUAAGUCGGAUGUGAAAUCUCCGGGCUUAACCCGGAAACUGCAUUGGAAACUACCUUGCUAGAGGUUUUGAGGGGGGACUGGAAUUCUCGGUGUAGCAGUGAAAUGCGUAGAUAAUCGAGAGGAACACCGGUGGCGAAGGCGAGUCCCUGGAAA